rnacentral:rRNA from 1 species
AGUGAACGCUGGCGGUAGGCCUAACACAUGCAAGUCGAACGGCAGCACAGUAAGAGCUUGCUCUUACGGGUGGCGAGUGGCGGACGGGUGAGGAAUACAUCGGAAUCUACUUUUUCGUGGGGGAUAACGUAGGGAAACUUACGCUAAUACCGCAUACGACCUACGGGUGAAAGCAGGGGAUCUUCGGACCUUGCGCGAUUGAAUGAGCCGAUGUCGGAUUAGCUAGUUGGCGGGGUAAAGGCCCACCAAGGCGACGAUCCGUAGCUGGUCUGAGAGGAUGAUCAGCCACACUGGAACUGAGACACGGUCCAGACUCCUACGGGAGGCAGCAGUGGGGAAUAUUGGACAGUGGGCGCAAGCCUGAUCCAGCCAGACCGCGUGGGUGAAGAAGGCCUUCGGGUUGUAAAGCCCUUUUGUUGGGAAAGAAAAGCAGCAGGUUAAUACCCCGCUGUUCUGACGGUACCCAAAGAAUAAGCACCGGCUAACUUCGUG